rnacentral:rRNA from 1 species
AGUGAACGCUGGCGGUAGGCCUAACACAUGCAAGUCGAACGGCAGCACAGUAAGAGCUUGCUCUUACGGGUGGCGAGUGGCGGACGGGUGAGGAAUACAUCGGAAUCUACUUUUUCGUGGGGGAUAACGUAGGGAAACUUACGCUAAUACCGCAUACGACCUACGGGUGAAAGCAGGGGAUCUUCGGACCUUGCGCGAUUGAAUGAGCCGAUGUCGGAUUAGCUAGUUGGCGGGGUAAAGGCCCACCAAGGCGACGAUCCGUAGCUGGUCUGAGAGAAUGAUGAGCCACACUGGAACUGAGACACGGUCCAGACUCCUACGGGAGGCAGCAGUGGGGAAUAUUGGACAAUGGGCGCAAGCCUGAUCCAGCCAUACCGCGUGGGUGAAGAAGGCCUUCGGGUUGUAAAGCCCUUUUGUUGGGAAAGAAAAGCAGCAGGUUAAUACCCCGCUGUUCUGACGGUACCCAAAGAAUAAGCACCGGCUAACUUCGUG